rnacentral:lncRNA from 1 species
GGUUUUGGCUCAUGGGAUUUGGUCCACGAGGUUUGGUUUUAGUUCAUGGGAUUUGGUCCAUGAACUUGGUUUUGGUUUCAUGGGAUUUGGUCCAUGAACUUGGUUUUGGCUCAUGGGAUUUGGUCCAUGAGGUUUGGUUUUGGCUCAUGGGAUUUGGUCCAUGAGGUUUGGUUUUGGUUCAUGGGAUUUGGUCCAUGAACUUGGUUUUGGCUCAUGGGAUUUGGUCUAUGAGGUUUGGUUUUGAUUCAUGAGAUUUGGUCCAUGAACUUGAUUUUGGUUCAUGGGAUUUGGUCCAUGAACUUGGUUUUGGUUCAUGGGAUUUGGUCCGUGAACUUGGUUUUGUAUGUGGACUUGGUUUGGUUUGGGUUUAUUUGGGUUCGAGUUUGGGUUCUGAUUUUAUGUAUGGACUUAGUUUGGGUUUGGAUUUAUUUGGGUCCAAGUUUGGGUUCUGGUUUUAUGUGUGGACUUGGUUUGGGUUUGGAUUGAUUUGGGUCCAAGUUUGGGUUUAUUUGGGUUUUGGGUUUAGGUUUAUUUGGGUUUGGGUUUGGGUUUGAUUUUGGGUUCGGGUUUUGGUCUUAUUUGUGGACUUGGUUCAGGUUGGGUUUGGAUUUGAUUUGGGUUUCGGUUUUGGUUUUAUGUGUGGAAUGGGUUUGGAUUUUAUUUGGGUUUGGGUUUUGGUUUGAUUUGAGUUUGGGUUUUGGUUUUAUGUGUGGAAUGGGUUAGGAUUUUAUUUGGGUUUGGGUUUGCGUUUGAUUUGAGUUUGGGUUUUGGUUUUAUUUGGGGAAUGGGUUUGGAUUUUAUUUGGGUUUGUAGGUGAACUUAAUUUGCAAUUUGGGUUCGCAUAUGAACUUAAUUU